GACGAACGCUGGCGGCGUGCUUAACACAUGCAAGUCGAACGGAAAGGCCCUGCUUUUGUGGGGUGCUCGAGUGGCGAACGGGUGAGUAACACGUGAGUAACCUGCCCUUGACUUUGGGAUAACUUCAGGAAACUGGGGCUAAUACCGGAUAGGAGCUCCUGCUGCAUGGUGGGGGUUGGAAAGUUUCGGCGGUUGGGGAUGGACUCGCGGCUUAUCAGCUUGUUGGUGGGGUAGUGGCUUACCAAGGCUUUGACGGGUAGCCGGCCUGAGAGGGUGACCGGCCACAUUGGGACUGAGAUACGGCCCAGACUCCUACGGGAGGCAGCAGUGGGGAAUAUUGCACAAUGGGCGGAAGCCUGAUGCAGCAACGCCGCGUGCGGGAUGACGGCCUUCGGGUUGUAAACCGCUUUCGCCUGUGACGAAGCGUGAGUGACGGUAAUGGGUAAAGAAGCACCGGCUAACUACGUGCCAGCAGCCGCGGUGAUACGUAGGGUGCGAGCGUUGUCCGGAUUUAUUGGGCGUAAAGGGCUCGUAGGUGGUUGAUCGCGUCGGAAGUGUAAUCUUGGGGCUUAACCCUGAGCGUGCUUUCGAUACGGGUUGACUUGAGGAAGGUAGGGGAGAAUGGAAUUCCUGGUGGAGCGGUGGAAUGCGCAGAUAUCAGGAGGAACACCAGUGGCGAAGGCGGUUCUCUGGGCCUUUCCUGACGCUGAGGAGCGAAAGCGUGGGGAGCGAACAGGCUUAGAUACCCUGGUAGUCCACGCUGUAAACGGUGGGUACUAGGUGUGGGGUCCAUUCCACGGGUUCCGUGCCGUAGCUAACGCUUUAAGUACCCCGCCUGGGGAGUACGGCCGCAAGGCUAAAACUCAAAGGAAUUGACGGGGCCUCGCACAAGCGGCGGAGCAUGCGGAUUAAUUCGAUGCAACGCGUAGAACCUUACCUGGGUUUGACAUGGAUCGGGAGUGCUCAGAGAUGGGUGUGCCUCUUUUGGGGUCGGUUCACAGGUGGUGCAUGCCUGUCGUCAGCUCGUGUCGUGAGAUGUUGGGUUAAGUCCCGCAACGAGCGCAACCCUUGUUCACUGUUGCCAGCACGUUAUGGUGGGGACUCAGUGGAGACCGCCGGGGUCAACUCGGAGGAAGGUGGGGAUGACGUCAAGUCAUCAUGCCCCUUAUGUCCAGGGCUUCACGCAUGCUACAAUGGCUGGUACAGAGAGUGGCGAGCCUGUGAGGGUGAGCGAAUCUCGGAAAGCCGGUCUCAGUUCGGAUUGGGGUCUGCAACUCGACCUCAUGAAGUCGGAGUCGCUAGUAAUCGCAGAUCAGCAACGCUGCGGUGAAUACGUUCCCGGGGCU
rnacentral:rRNA from 1 species